AUUGAACGCUGGCGGCAGGCUUAACACAUGCAAGUCGAGCGGAGAUGAGGUGCUUGCACCUUAUCUUAGCGGCGGACGGGUGAGUAAUGCUUAGGAAUCUGCCUAUUAGUGGGGGACAACAUUCCGAAAGGAAUGCUAAUACCGCAUACGCCCUACGGGGGAAAGCAGGGGAUCUUCGGACCUUGCGCUAAUAGAUGAGCCUAAGUCGGCUUAGCUAGUUGGUGGGGUAAAGGCCUACCAAGGCGACGAUCUGUAGCGGGUCUGAGAGGAUGAUCCGCAACACUGGGACUGAGACACGGCCCAGGCUCCUACGGGAGGCAGCAGUGGGGAAUAUUGGACAAUGGGCGGAAGCCUGAUCCAGCCAUGCCGCGUGUGUGAAGAAGGCCUUUUGGUUGUAAAGCACUUUAAGCGAGGAGGAGGCUACCUGGAUUAAUACUCUAGGAUAGUGGACGUUACUCGCAGAAUAAGCACCGGCUAACUCUGUGCCAGCCGCCGCCGUAAUAC
rnacentral:rRNA from 1 species